rnacentral:rRNA from 1 species
AUUGAACGCUGGCGGCAGGCCUAACACAUGCAAGUCGAGCGAGCGGCGGACGGGUGCGUAAUGUAUGGGGACCGCCCGAUAGAGGGGGAUAACUACUGGAAACGGUGUCUACUACCGCAUACUCUCGGCUAACCCAUAGGUGAUUAGCUCGUCGGGAAGGUAAUGGCUCACCUAGGCGGCGAUCCCUAGCUGGUCUGAGAGGAUGAUCAGCCAAACUGGGACUGAGACACGGCCCAGACUCCUACGGGGGCAGCAGUGGGGAAUAUUGCACAAUGGGCGCAAGCCUGAUGCAGCCAUGUCGCGUGUAUGAAGAAGGCCCUAGGGUUGUAAAGUACUUUCAGUCGGGAGGCGUGACCGACAGAAGAAGCACCGGCUAACUCCGUGCCAGCAGCCGGGGUAAUUC